rnacentral:lncRNA from 1 species
AGGUAUCCAAUUGUAUCAACAUCACAUGUAAAGAUUUUAUGUUCUUGGUUGCAUUUAUAUCAAAAGACAAAGGCCGGGAUUUUUUUGGUUCAUUAACUAAUUUAUUAGAGUUACUUUGACCACCUGAUUUAGGGUUCUUAUUAAAUUUAUUAACUUUUUUUAUGGAUAAAUCUUAGUUAUAAAAAGAAGAGAUCAACUUGAAACUCCCUCUCAAUAGCAUAUUUCUAUUUAUAUUUCCAAGGGUAUUACUAUUAAAUGUCCAAGGAGCACUAUGUCUCCUUCGAAAUCAUAAAAUUGGAUUAUUAAUUGAUGACAAGCAUUUCCAUUUUGACUGUGAAGUUUUUUUUUUAAACAUGCAAGAGUUUCCUUUCUUGCUUUUUGUUGAUAGCGUUUUUGGUGGAAUUUAUCUAGUAGGUAAGCUGGAAGGUGAGUUAGGUUGGUCCGGAUCUACAGUAAAGAAAGCACAAUUCAAGAGCGUCAAAAUUUGUUAUUCGGAAUGUGCUUUAACGCUCUAGUCGAGUAGGUAUAUUAGAGUUUUGGGAAGAUGAAGAUGAGUUGCAGAGAAAACUUGAGAGAAAGAGACUUAGAAUGAAUGUUCCUAAACCUCCUAUUGACGGGAG